UGAGGAACAUGACCUUCGGCGGGGGAGUAGCCGGCCCAACGGCCGGGUAAUACCGCGUACGACCACAUGGGGACAUCCCUGAGUGGUGAAAGCAGCGAUGCGCCGAUGGAGUGCCUCGCGGCCUAUCAGCUAGUUGGUGAGGUAACGGCUCACCAAGGCGACGACGGGUANCUGGUCUGAGAGGAUGGCCAGCCACAUUGGGACUGAGACACGGCCCAGACCUCUACCGGGGAGG
rnacentral:rRNA from 1 species